rnacentral:rRNA from 1 species
GAUGAACGCUGGCGGCGUGCCUAAUACAUGCAGGUCGAGCGAACAGAUGAGGAGCUUGCUCCUCUGACGUUAGCGGCGGACGGGUGAGUAACACGUGGAUAACCUACCUAUAAGACUGGGAUAACUUCGGGAAACCGGAGCUAAUACCGGAUAAUAUAUUGAACCGCAUGGUUCAAUAGUGAAAGACGGUUUUGCUGUCACUUAUAGAUGGAUCCGCGCCGCAUUAGCUAGUUGGUAAGGUAACGGCUUACCAAGGCAACGAUGCGUAGCCGACCUGAGAGGGUGAUCGGCCACACUGGAACUGAGACACGGUCCAGACUCCUACGGGAGGCAGCAGUAGGGAAUCUUCCGCAAUGGGCGAAAGCCUGACGAAGCAACGCCGCGUGAGUGAUGAAGGUCUUCGGAUCGUAAAACUCUGUUAUUAGGGAAGAACAAAUGUGUAAGUAACUAUGCACGUCUUGACGGUACCUAAUCAGAAAGCCACGGCUAACUACGU